rnacentral:rRNA from 1 species
AUUGUAUCGAAGACAUCCAGAGAUGGAUGUGUCUCUUCGGAGACGGUAUGACAGUGGCUGCAUGGCGUGUCGUCAGCUCGUGCCGUGAGGUGUUGGGUUAAGUCCCGCAACGAGCGCAACCCCUAUCUUUAGUUGCCAUCAGUUCGGCUGGGCACUCUAUGGAGACUGCCACCUAAAGUGGAGGAAGGUGGGGAUGACGUCAAGUCAGCAUGGCCCUUACGUCCGGGGCUACACACGUGCUACAAUGGCCGGUACAAAGGGUUGCGAAGCCGUGAGGUGGAGCGAAUCUCAAAAAGCCGGCCUCAGUUCGGAUUGGAGGCUGCAACUCGCCUCCAUGAAGUCGGAAUCGCUAGUAACCGCAGAUCAGCUACGUUGCGGUGAAUACGUUCCCGGGCCUU